rnacentral:rRNA from 1 species
UACAGAGAGUGCAAGCGUUAAUCGGAAUCACUGGGCGUAAAGCGCGCGUAGGUGGAUAUUUAAGUCGAAUGUGAAAUACCUGGGCUUAACCUGGGAACUGCAUCCGAUACUGAAUGUCUUGAGUAUGGUAGAGGGAAGUGGAAUUUCUGGUGUAGCGGUGAAAUGCGUAGAUAUCAGAAAGAACAUCAGUGGCGAAGGCGGCUUCCUGGACCAAUACUGACACUGAGGUGCGAAAGCGUGGGGAGCAAACAGG